rnacentral:rRNA from 1 species
CCUACGGGGGGCAGCAGUAGGGAAUAUUGCUCAAUGGGGGAAACCCUGAAGCAGCAACGCCGCGUGGAGGAUGAAGGUUUUCGGAUUGUAAACUCCUUUCGUUAGAGAAGAUAAUGACGGUAUCUAACGAAUAAGCACCGGCUAACUCCGUGCCAGCAGCCGCGGUAAUACGGAGGGUGCAAGCGUUACUCGGAAUAACUGGGCGUAAAGAGCGCGUAGGCGGGAUAGCAAGUCAGAUGUGAAAUCCUAUGGCUUAACCAUAGAACUGCAGUUGAAACUGUUAGUCUAGAGUAUGGGAGAGGUAGGUGGAAUUCGUGGUGUAGGGGUAAAAUGCGUAGAGAUCAAGAGGAAUACUCAUUGCGAAGGCGACCUGCUAGAACAUAACUGACGCUGAUGCGCGAAAGCGUGGGGAGCAAACAGGAUUAGAUACCCUUGUAGUC